GGUUAAGCGACUAAGCGUACACGGUGGAUGCCCUGGCAGUCAGAGGCGAUGAAGGACGUGCUAAUCUGCGAAAAGCGUCGGUAAGGUGAUAUGAACCGUUACAGCCGGCGAUGUCCGAAUGGGGAAACCCAGUGCAAUUCGUUGCACUAUCGUUAACUGAAUACAUAGGUUAACGAGGCGAACCGGGGGAACUGAAACAUCUAAGUACCCCGAGGAAAAGAAAUCAACCGAGAUUCCCCCAGUAGCGGCGAGCGAACGGGGAGCAGCCCGGAGUCUGAAUCAGCUUGUGUGUUAGUGGAAGCGUCUGGAAAGUCGCAGGGUACAGGGUGAUACUCCCGUACACUAAAACGCACAGGUUGUGAACUCGAAGAGUAGGGCGGGACACGUGGUAUCCUGUCUGAAUAUGGGGGGACCAUCCUCCAAGGCUAAAUACUCCUGACUGACCGAUAGUGAACCAGUACCGUGAGGGAAAGGCGAAAAGAACCCCGGCGAGGGGAGUGAAAAAGAACCUGAAACCGUGUACGUACAAGCAGUAGGAGCCCACUUGUUGGGUGACUGCGUACCUUUUGUAUAAUGGGUCAGCGACUUAUAUUCUGUAGCAAGGUUAACCGUAUAGGGGAGCCGCAGGGAAACCGAGUCUUAACUGGGCGUUAAGUUGCAGGGUAUAGACCCGAAACCCGGUGAUCUAGCCAUGGGCAGGUUGAAGGUUGGGUAACACUAACUGGAGGACCGAACCGACUAAUGUUGAAAAAUUAGCGGAUGACUUGUGGCUGGGGGUGAAAGGCCAAUCAAACCGGGAGAUAGCUGGUUCUCCCCGAAAGCUAUUUAGGUAGCGCCUCGUGAACUCAUCUUCGGGGGUAGAGCACUGUUUCGGCUAGGGGGUCAUCCCGACUUACCAACCCGAUGCAAACUACGAAUACCGAAGAAUGUUAUCACGGGAGACACACGGCGGGUGCUAACGUCCGUCGUGAAGAGGGAAACAACCCAGACCGCCAGCUAAGGUCCCAAAGUCAUGGUUAAGUGGGAAACGAUGUGGGAAGGCCCAGACAGCCAGGAUGUUGGCUUAGAAGCAGCCAUCAUUUAAAGAAAGCGUAAUAGCUCACUGGUCGAGUCGGCCUGCGCGGAAGAUGUAACGGGGCUAAACCAUGCACCGAAGCUGCGGCAGCGACACUAUGUGUUGUUGGGUAGGGGAGCGUUCUGUAAGCCGUUGAAGGUGGCCUGUGAGGGUUGCUGGAGGUAUCAGAAGUGCGAAUGCUGACAUAAGUAACGAUAAUGCGGGUGAAAAACCCGCACGCCGGAAGACCAAGGGUUCCUGUCCAACGUUAAUCGGGGCAGGGUGAGUCGACCCCUAAGGCGAGGCCGAAAGGCGUAGUCGAUGGGAAACAGGUUAAUAUUCCUGUACUCGGUGUUACUGCGAAGGGGGGACGGAGAAGGCUAUGUUGGCCGGGCGACGGUUGUCCCGGUUUAAGCAUGUAGGCGGAUGUUCCAGGUAAAUCCGGAACGUUAUCAACGCUGAGGUGUGAUGACGAGGCACUACGGUGCUGAAGUGACAAAUGCCCUGCUUCCAGGAAAAGCCUCUAAGCAUCAGGUAACAUCAAAUCGUACCCCAAACCGACACAGGUGGUCAGGUAGAGAAUACCAAGGCGCUUGAGAGAACUCGGGUGAAGGAACUAGGCAAAAUGGUGCCGUAACUUCGGGAGAAGGCACGCUGAUGGUAAGUGAAGCGACUUGCUCGUGGAGCUGAAAUCAGUCGAAGAUACCAGCUGGCUGCAACUGUUUAUUAAAAACACAGCACUGUGCAAACACGAAAGUGGACGUAUACGGUGUGACGCCUGCCCGGUGCCGGAAGGUUAAUUGAUGGGGUUAUCCUCGCGGAGAAGCUCUUGAUCGAAGCCCCGGUAAACGGCGGCCGUAACUAUAACGGUCCUAAGGUAGCGAAAUUCCUUGUCGGGUAAGUUCCGACCUGCACGAAUGGCGUAAUGAUGGCCAGGCUGUCUCCACCCGAGACUCAGUGAAAUUGAACUCGCUGUGAAGAUGCAGUGUACCCGCGGCAAGACGGAAAGACCCCGUGAACCUUUACUAUAGCUUGACACUGAACACUGGUCCUUGAUGUGUAGGAUAGGUGGGAGGCUUUGAAGUGUGGACGCCAGUCUGCAUGGAGCCAUCCUUGAAAUACCACCCUUUAAUGGCUGGUGUUCUAACGUGGGCCCGUAAUCCGGGUUGCGGACAGUGUCUGGUGGGUAGUUUGACUGGGGCGGUCUCCUCCUAAAGAGUAACGGAGGAGCACGAAGGUCAGCUAAUCCUGGUCGGACAUCAGGAGGUUAGUGCAAUGGCAUAAGCUGGCUUGACUGCGAGCGUGACGGCGCGAGCAGGUGCGAAAGCAGGUCAUAGUGAUCCGGUGGUUCUGAAUGGAAGGGCCAUCGCUCAACGGAUAAAAGGUACUCCGGGGAUAACAGGCUGAUACCGCCCAAGAGUUCAUAUCGACGGCGGUGUUUGGCACCUCGAUGUCGGCUCAUCACAUCCUGGGGCUGAAGUAGGUCCCAAGGGUAUGGCUGUUCGCCAUUUAAAGUGGUACGCGAGCUGGGUUUAGAACGUCGUGAGACAGUUCGGUCCCUAUCUGCCGUGGGCGCUGGAGAAUUGAGGGGGGCUGCUCCUAGUACGAGAGGACCGGAGUGGACGCAUCACUGGUGUUCGGGUUGUCAUGCCAAUGGCAUUGCCCGGUAGCUAAAUGCGGAAGAGAUAAGUGCUGAAAGCAUCUAAGCACGAAACUUGCCCCGAGAUGAGUUCUCCCUGACUCCUUGAGAGUCCUGAAGGAACGUUGAAGACGACGACGUUGAUAGGCCGGGUGUGUAAGCGCAGCGAUGCGUUGAGCUAACCGGUACUAAUGAACCGUGAGGCUUAACCUU
rnacentral:rRNA from 1 species